rnacentral:piRNA from 1 species
UUGAUAAAUUGCAAAAUGUCUCCCACCAUC